rnacentral:misc_RNA from 1 species
AAAGUCGUAACAAGGUCUCCGUUGGUGAACCAGCGGAGGGAUCAUUACCGAGUUUUUAUACUCUAAACCCAAUUGUGAACAUACCUUUAUAACCUGCUUCGGCGAGCGGAGGUGAAGUUUUCUUCUCCUUCUCUAGGCGGCACAACCCUUCGGGGCUGUAAAGCUGCUCGCCGGCAGCAGACCCAAAAAUUCUUUUUUAUUUCUAGUGGUUUUUACUGCUGAGUGGCAAUUUAUUAAAUAAGUUAAAACUUUCAACAACGGAUCUCUUGGCUCUG